GGGGGGGGGGGGGGGGGGGAGCUGGCAGAGCCGUGAAGCGCUGUCUGCAUCUCCCAAGUGACAUGCUGUGGCCGAGAGGACCGGAGAGGCUCUCUGGAGCCGGUCCGAGAGCGGUCAGGUGGGACGAGGUGGGAUGCGGUGAGGAUCCUUUGCUCUCAUGACAGUUUGAGUCUGGUGCCAUUUGUUUUGCAAGCCCAUCUGGUAGCAAUAGCCUGUCUUUUAUGGUGUCCUACUUACUCUUCCUUUGAGUUCAACACAUGUAAAAAAUAACAGCAACAACAAUCCACCGCAGCCACCACGCUAAGAGCAAAAAUAUUUGGGUGGGGUCCAGGCACAUCCUCCCAUUCUUUGGGGACAGGGACAGGGGUCAGGCCAAGAGCACUCCUGGCUCUCUGGGGUUUGGGAUGAGAGAGGUUUCCUUUGCUACCUUUAUAACCAGGGAUUCCAUGGACUGAAAGGAUGGCCUUCUGCAAGCACAGCACAUGCUCCCUCUUGCAGUAAAGGUCAUCUCUUUCCUCCUGGGCCUUCUUUGGCUGCCUUCUUGAGGCAUUUGCUUUGAUUCCAGUUCUUGUUUCCAGUUUGAAGUGAAAAAAGCAGGGUGAUAUCCAUAAAUGGGUUCCUAGGCUAACAAAUAAAUGUGGUCCUAUGCAUGUUUAAAAAUAUCUUGUGAUUUAUAAUGGUAAUCAUUAAAAAAUAAAAUGCACUGACUGACCUUGAGCAAGUCAGGCUGCCCCAGAAGUCGCAGUCAACUUGAAGGCAUACAACAACAACAACAACAACAACAACAACAACAGUGAUGUCGCCUUCCCAAAAAAGAACUUAGAGACCCAACCGCCAUGCCCCAGAUGUUCCUUGCAGGCGGUAAAGAUUUCAUGCGAUCUUUGGGACUGACUGUCGCAAGAGCCGACCGCCCCGUGACUUUCUCCCUGCGUGACUCAGGCUUUGUUUCCCGACCUGCGUUGGUGGUCCAAGGACUGCCAUUGUCUGCAACGUUUUAAAGCAUUCCAAGUUCUCUGCGAAGAGCAGGCAUAAGCUGGAAUUACUUUUGCUAAUGAUGUGAAAGAUAGUGGCAGCUUGGAGAAGACCAAGACUGACUUGAGGGCUGCUAAGUUUUUUCCUGUGACUCUUUGCCAGGUGCCAUAUUUAAGUGCUCAAAAUGCAGAGGCUGGCUAAAGAAAGGAAGAAGCAAAUCUGUGGUCUUCCAGCGAAUAUUGUCUGUCCAUCUGUUGUGUCUUAUUGCUUCCUUUACACACCACUUUGCCCCAUAGCUGGCACUCAGGGAGGCCUCCUCCUUCAUUCUUGUUGAUCCAUGGACUUACAUUUAAUUCUCAUUUUCCCCACUCCAUACUAUCACUGUGGAAUGAACAAGAACUGACACAUGUUUCUAACCUGGUUAAUAUAAUACAUUUCAAGCAGAUUUACUUUACAGAAUAUGUUACACAGAACAAAAACAUGAAUAGGGUUAAACAAAUCCAGUUUGACUAUGCUUGGAUCUAACUCACUUUCAGUCCUUCUCUCUCUGCACUUUCUCUUUUGGUUGUUACUGCCUUUUAUAAUAAUAAUGAUAAUAAUAAUAAUAAUAAUAAUAAUAAUAAUAAUAAUAAUAAUAUAUUACUAAUAUUGACCACCUUGAGUCCCCUUGGGGAGGGAGGGCGAGGUAUAAAUAAAGUAUCCUUAUUUGAUACACAACAAGAUUAGUACACAGCAAACAAGAUCACUGUACUGGCUAUUGUAUUGGAUCAUAGGUCGGGCCCUUCCCAAGUGUCUAGGACUAUGUAAUGUAUCAGCGAAUAAUGCAUUCAGAUCCGAGUAGAGUGGCCUUUUGCAGCUGACUGGUGGUGAUUUUGUCAGCACCAAUUGUUUUUAAGUGCUGACCAAGGUCUUUAGGCACUGGACUCAGUAUGCCGAUCACCACUGGGACCACCUUGCCUGGCUUGUUCCAGAGUCUUUGCAGUUUGAUCUUUAAAUCCUCAUAUCAUGUAAGCUUUUCCAGUUGCUUCUUGUCAAUUCUGCUAUCACCUGGGACUGCAAAAUUGUUGUUGUUGUUGUUGUUGUUGUUGUUGUUGUUGUUAUCUCUGUAUUUGGCCUCCUUGGAUGAUUUAAUGAUGAACCAGAAGUCCACAGUACAGGAGGUCAAAGAAGUAUGCUGCUUUUUAUAAAACAAUGGCCUGGAAAUGUCUUGUCCCUUGAACCUUGCUUGCCUGAGGGACAGCAGUGGUCCUUUGGUGGCCCUAGCCAGGUGCUGGCUCUAAAAGAAGUAGCAGGGAACAGGUGCUUUUGUGAGGCUGAGAGGGCUUCCUUGACCCUCUGCAUUGCUCUAUGCCCAUGAGGACAAUGCAAGAAAAGAGGCAGGUUAGUGGAGAUCAUACAGUCACACUCCACAUUCAAUUUGAGCCUGUGGCAGAGGAGCUUUCAUGUGCAGCCAUCACGCACAGUUGUGCACCAUACAGCAAGGUACAUUGUGCAUGCAAGUGAGCAUCAUGCAUUCAUUUGCUCCUUCAGUUGUCCAGCAUCAUAGUUAAUGAAAGAGUUAGGAUUGCAAACCUGUGGCAACUGUGGGUGUGGAGUUAUGCUCUAUGCCUUCAGUGUGGGAUCCCAGCAGUCCCCCUCCUUGCUGGGGAGGAGAGAAGGCUGUUAGGUUGGAUGGGCUUGCUUCAGAAGUGCUUCCGUUGUGUUUCCUGCCAUGGCUGAAGUGGGUUUGCCACGAUGGCCCUUGGGGCUUCUUCCAUCCGUCAAAAUGCUGUGCUUCUAGGGUCGUUCCCUUCCACUUGCACAGAGGGAGCCUUUGUGACCCUCAUUCUCCUUUUUUGGAGUACACAGGGCCAGGAUCCUUCCUUUAAUCAUUGUGCCAUCUAUUAUAAUCUAUGCAUUUUAUUGUAUGUAUUUUAUGGUGAUGCAUUUUAACAGUGUUGUGCCCCACCUCAAGCUGUGAGGAGAGGUGGGCAAGAAAUAGAAUUUAUUAUUUUUAUUAUUAGUAUUGCUCCUGAAAGCUGAGAUUCCGAAAGGUUGGGUGAGAGCAUGUGAGGGUUUGAAGGUGAAGGGCUCCGGAGAGGAUCCUCCGACCUACUUUCCCCAAACUCUGCAGGUUGCCUGUCUUUCCUCUGCAUGUUGGAGGCCAGACUGUGGCUAGACUGUGACAGGCACCUCCUUGUGCCUUGUGGGCCUCAACGUCUGCUCUCCUCAGCAUCCCAAUACACCCAACGGCAGGCAGCAUCCUCCACCCACAUGACUUGCUCCAGGCCGUGCGUUUAGAAGAAGCUGCUGCUCUUCCUUGGGGCAAUCGGGUACAUGGUGCACUUGCUGAACCCGAGGGAAAAGAUGACGCCUUUUUCUCUUCUUCUGGUGGGACUGUGGGGCUGGGGCUCUGUUUUGGCAUUUCUCCUUCCACGGCUGUUAUUUGCUUGCUGCGUGACUUUAGCAGAAGCCGAGUUGCUUCUCCGUUCCGUGACUCCGCCGCCCUUCUUUUACUCUCAGGACGGCCUUACCACCCACCUCUUGGGAACGCUACGGUGCCGUUAUGGAGGGGUGUUUUGGAGCUGGCUGUGCGCUCUGGAUGACGAGUGAUCUCUCUGUGUGGUAAAGCAGGCUCCUGUUGCUCUAGGGGCGCCCCCCACAAACGGCGACCAUGGGGAAAACAAAGGGAGAGAGUGGGGUGCGUUCGGUUGUGCUCCGUUUCUUGGCUGAGUGGCGGGUGCGACUGUGGGGUGCUGAAAACAUUAACAAGCGGAUUUGUAGCAAAAGGGAAUUUGGCUCCCCCAGAUCAAAGACGUUGGUUGUAUAGUAUAAAUUUUAUAUAUUAACGAGCAAAAGAAGGCUUCUUAUGUCUUUCUCCUGGCCUCUCUCAAUAGGAAUAUGUUUCUAAUAACCUUCCCUGGUUCUGGCCAAGUUGGCAAGCGCCGUUGUUUUCUGUUUCAUCUUAUUUCAGGGUUGGUGGCAUUGCCUCCAAGCGCAUAACCCUUUUGGUAGCCAUUCAGAGGCUGAGUUAACCCCAUCGAGGCAGAGUGUGGGGCACGGGGGCCAUUUCUGGAAGCUCCGGGCACAACUGGCCGGAGCAGUGGGCAGCGGGGGGUGCGUCCAGCAGUUGGAGGGCUGAGCAUCAGUAGGCUGCCCAAGGCCAGACUUUAUGAGCCACCUGUAAGUGCGUUGUUACAAGCUGGGUUCUCUGGCCCCGUAAAUCUGGCACUGAAACAAAACCAGCCGUGGGCAGCUGGAAGACUCUCUAAAGAUUGUACAGCAAGAUCCUAAUACAGAUGUUGUUGUUAUAUUUAUUUAUACACCGCUUUAUCUCCCCAAAGGGGACUCAAAGGGGCUAUUGCUCUUCUAUUUUUGAAUGCAGAGAAAGCCUUUGAUAACGUCUUCUGGGGAUUUAUGGGAAGGUACUAGAGCACUAUGGAGUUGGCCAGCAAUUUGAGAGAGCCAUAAGCGCCAUUUAUUCAAAACAAAGAGCUAAACAAAGAGCUGGAUUAAGGUUUAUGUACAAAGUUUUGUGGAUGAAUGGCUCAAGUAUUUUGUAUUGUUUUUAAAUCUGUAUAUUUCAUAUUGCUAAUUUAUUUAACUGUUUUUAACUGCUUAUUUUUUAUUCUUUUGUAUUGUUGUGUAUUGGCAUCAAAUUCUGCCGGUUUUGUAAGCCAUCCUUAGUCCCUUCGGGUGAGAAGGGUGGGAUAGAAAUGAUGGAAAUUAAUUAAUUAAUUAAUAAUAAAUGGUCAAUUGUCAAACUGUAUAGAGAUACCAAAAGGGAGGAGACAAGGUUGCCCCUUGUUGCCUUUACUGCUUAUCUGGGUGCUAGAAAUAUUGAACAUUAGGGUUAAGUCUUCCUCCUUGGCAGGACGGCCAUUGGUCGGGAGGGCUUGGAUAGUGUGUUCCUGCAUAGCGGAAUGGGGCUGGACUGGAUUACUCUGGGGUCUCUUCCAGCUCCAGGGGCCUGUGACCCUUCUUCUUGGUGGCUGGAAAGGUAGCUUUGCUCAGGCCACAAAUUGUACCAGUUGCAUCACAGAGGGGGAGUGAGCGGACACGGCACUACAUCCAUAAUGGUGCAAUCUUGGUUCUUUGCAUCGUAAUUGGGCAAACUGGACACCGCUGAUCUUUAUAGCAAAUGAAGCUUUUUUGGAAGGAGUUACGUCAAAAACCACAAUAAUGGCCCAUACAACCUACACUCAGGUUUUUGCCUUCCCAGCCAAGUUCUUGUCACUCAGAGCUUCCCGGGCCUGGUUCCCCGCCUCUGAUCGACUUAAACAACAAAACAUUCCCUGUGUGGAUUAAGCUGCCGAAAAGCCCCCAAGGCCUUGUUUAUAGGUCUACGUUCUUGCUUUAAAGAGCGAAAGUGAGCAUUUUAAUGGUUUCCAUAUUCUAUAAAUCUCCUGGAGGAGGACAACGUAGUUGGCCGGUGCUAGAUGCUUCUCAUUACUCUUAACAGGAAAAAGCCCGGCUAAAAUGCUGGCAGAUGUGGGGGUUUCCAGCCCUGGGGGGGGGGGGGGAUCUCUCGUUCCCUGUGAUUUCAGGAGUCCAGCUUUGCAAGGAGCAGAUAAACAAGUGGGCCAGACUGUCCCCUUGCUGUUCUGGGAAGUUGGUUCCAAGGUUGUUUUGCUCUUAGAAGUCUUUCUUUCUUGCUUGCUUGCUUUCCUUCAUCCAUUUCUCCCUUAUCAUUUCCUCUUAAAAAGACUUCCUUACUUGUUUAGCUGGGUCAAAAGGAUUCCAAAAACAGUGAGAUAUGGCAGCUGAAAUAGCUAAGGCAAUUGUAAGCUGCAUCACUAGGAGUCUAGAGUCUAGAUCAGUGGUUCUCAACCUGUGGGUCGUGGCCCAGCAGUGGGCUGCGAAAACGAAAAUCCGGUCUACGAAUCUCCUUCCUCUUUAUUUAUUGAUUUUAUUUCUGUUCCUUUCCACAGAUUUUUAUUUAUUUUUAUUUAUUUACAUCACUUUUACCCCGCCUUUCUCUCCGAGGAGACUCAAAGCGGCAGAUCUGACCAUUGCAUUGGAUAGACCAUAUCAGCUCUACAUUAUUAAAUAUGUUUUUCUGUGGGCAAGCAGAUGUCAACUACUUUAUCAGAAACUAGAGCUGAUGUGGUCUAUACAAUGCAGUUUUUUGAAUCAGCACCCCAAAUAACCAAACCGAAUCUAAAGUUGGCCAGAAACUGAUUUCUAACACUUUUGGUACUAAUGUUGGAGAGUGAUCCUUGGUCAAAGUGUUUCCUGGUCAAAGUGUUUCCUGGUCAAAGUAUUGCCUGGUCAAAGUGGUCCCUGGUUACGUGGGCCCUGGUUUUAAAAAAAGGUUGGGAACCCCUGGUCUGGAUGGAGGGAAGUCCUAGUCCUGCUCUCUUCUGCUUUGGUCAAAUUGUUGGGGAAUCUGAGCUGUUAGGUUCAAAAUAACCCUCAGUUGGGGUGAUUCCACCAUAAAUAUAGCGGACUACCAGAAGUAAACUUCAUAACUAGCAGAGAUGUAUGUGUGGUGAGCUAGGAUAAGCUUCUAUUCCUGUGGAUGGUUCAGGAUUGCAAAGUCAGAACUUUAGGUUCAAAAAUAUUUAUUGAAGUCAAAGAAAUACAUUCUUGAUAGAAAAGUUUUUGGAGCUCAUGAGCUGACAGUGUGCAUCCUCACAGGGAGAAAGAAAAGCAGAAGACUGAAAAAUGGCGAAUGGCCACAUGGGCAGCCCAGGGCAAUAAAACAUAAAAGGAAGUUCCUUCACAGAAUUCCAUUUCUAUAUCAUUAAAGGGGGAGGGGGAGACAGUGGCUAGCAGGAGGAGGAAAGACAAAGCCCUUUUUGGGAAAUCAUGCAAAGGAAUGUAGCUUAGCCCUGUCUCUAGCCUAGCAACUCAUUGAGGACCGGAAACUUGAUGGCACAAGAGACUUGUGCAGUUCAGGGAUGAAAUCCAAUUCAAAUCUCACCUGGAAUAAUAACCCUGAGUCUAGUUCUGUGCAAAGCAAUGCAAUAAGGAAAUGGACAAGAGGGAAGGUGUCCAGAGGAGGGCUUCUCUGGAAGUUUUUAAACAGGUUGGAUUGCCAUUUGUCAGGAUGGCUUGUAUUGUGUGUUCCUUCCUGGCAGAAGAGGGUUGAAGGGGAUGUCCCUUGGGGGUCUCUUCCAACUCUAGGAUUCUGUGAUCAGGAGGUGCCUCAAGGACCUGGUUGAGCCCCGCUGCCCUUGUAUUUCAGGGAAGACCCCAACCCUCCUGGGUGCCGUUGCAGCAUCGGCCAUGGUGCCUCUUUGGACAUGUGGGGCAGGGAGGUCUCUGAGGGCAGCGCACUCAGCCGGACUGGCCUGUUGUGGGGAGGCCAGGGGAUCUCCAGGUGCUUCUCUGCAUUGUGCCUGUCUGUUUGUGCGCACAGGUUGCCAGAUGCUGUGUGUUGUCGGGUGAAAGCCCUGUGGAAGCCAUGCGCCCACAGCUGGAAGCGAUAAAGCAGAGGAGCCCCAUGUUCUUUCAGUUAAGAAGACAAAGCCUGUUGUGUCCGGGCCUCAUGCGCACAAGAUUGCUCUCUGCUGUGUGAUGCUGGGGGAUUAAAGAUGGAAGCCUCUGGCUUGCAAGAUGGCUUUGCCAGACAGAGGUGGAGAGUGCCUGGGCCGUGCUCCAUCCCAGUGUGCUGUGUGGGCUGAAAUGGUUCUCUGGUAUGCGGCGGGUGUGCUUUGAAUGCCUUGCUGACAUUUCCAUCCAGUGGGAGCACUUGGAGAGGCAUUUAAAGUGCCUUUCAGCAAAGGGGGACUGCGCUUUGUAGUGCCGGAGGAGCCAUUCGUUUCAUGUCUGGCGAAAAGGUGCACGCAGAGUUCAGAUGCCAGACGGGACCCACGAAACGAUCAGAAUGGGUUGUAACAUGCUAAAAAUUAAUGGCGUGUUCUUCCUACCACACGUUUCGCCGCCUCUCUGGUUUUCCUUUAAAGACAUAUGUGGAGCGCAUGCUGCAUGACCUUGUUCUCCUCCUCUUCUCUCCCCCCCCCUCCCCGCUUUGGCCUCUUUCUGCUCCGAAUUCUCCUUCCCAUGAAUGCAAGUGGGUUUGCUUGCAGGCCUUCCUCCCAGAAUGCUGCUUCCUCCUUCCCACAUGUGUUUGGAUCAUGGCUGUCCUCACAUCUCCCUGGGAGCAGCGUGGGUUCUUUGGGAGGCUCUUUGGAGAACUGAGCAGGAACCACGUUGCUUUUCCGGGGCAGGCCCUUGCUUUCUUGGGGAAUUGGGCCUCUUAACUUGAAACAACAUGAAGCAUAGCGUAGCCGCCUUUGUGAGUUAGUAAGCCUAAAUAGCAAAGUCAAAGGUGAUCUUUUGAGAUACACUGAUAUCCUUCACAAACAAUGCCAUCAGAGGUGCAUGGAGCUUAGAUGUUGGGAAGCUGGUUCUCUCCUGAGAAGUUGAAGUUAGGGUCUUGGACCAUCACUUGUGGCCAAUGCUAGGUAGAGAAGUCUGGGAGCUGUAAUUUGCCAUCUUCAGUUUUAGUGAACAAUAGAAUAACUUUAUUGUACAUUGUAUAACAAAAUUAAAUGCUUUUCCCAGCACACAUCACAAAAACAACACACCCAUCCCUCCACACUCCAACCACCACCACACAGCCCCCAAUACCACAUCAAUGCGAAACCAGAAUGACAGAGUUGGAAGAGAACACCACUCCAAUAUCCUUCUGCCAGGCAGGAAGACACCAUCCAAUCCCUCCUGACAGAUGGCCAUCCAGCUUCUGCUUAAAAACCUCUCGAGAAGGAGACUACACCGGAAUCUAAGAAAGCAGUAUAUUCACAGCUCUAACUACCAGGAAGUUCUUCUUAACCUUUAGGUGUGAUCUCUUUUCUUGCACUUUGAAUCCAUUGAUCUGUUUGCCUCAUUCUGCUCAACGUGGCAUCCUUUCAGAUAUUUAAACAUGCCCCCUUCUCCCAUCCUUCUCUUCUCCAAGCUAAACAUCCCCAGCUCCUUAAGGAGCUCUUCAUAGGGUUUAGCUCCCAGACCUUUUAUCAUUUGGGUUGCUCUGCUGAAGACACCCUCCAACUUGUCUGUAUCCUUCAUCAAUUCUGGGGAAUUGGACAUAGUCUUGCUCCAGGUGAGCAGGUCUGGCCAAAGCGGAAUAAGUAGCCACUCAGCCCAUGCACAGAAACACCAACCACAGAGAGCCUUCCUUCCAUCUUUUGGCCCAGACCUUUCUUCUGAGUUGGUCUCUCCUCUGGUAGAGUCACGGGCCUUGGCCAGUGCAACACCUUUUGCCUCACCUCCACUCCGACCUCUGGGACCCACAAGUGGAUCUCGCCUUGCUUGAAGCUCCUGGAAGCCCCUCGGAGGGAUUAUUUGAGCAGCUGCCUGCAGAGAUGCCCAAGAGAAGAAACACCAUCCUCUUGCCUUUUGGUGCCGAGGUUAUUUUUCUCCUUUGGUGGAGAGACUAAUUUGAGGGGAGAGAAAGUUUCGCUCAUUCCAUUUGUUUUUCCAUGGGUCAGGACUUAGGAGCAUAAGAAAUUAGUGCUCUAAUCUAAACACACCAUUAGCCGGCUCCGUUCUGGGCUCCUUGGCACGGAUCUCUAGCCAACCAGAAAGAACCUUCCCCUUCCUGUCAUCUGACUUUCAGCUACAGCUUACAAAAGCUGCCUCCCCACCAUUACCUUGGUGUUCCCUUUCAGAUGUUGCGUCUGCUGUCACACUCCAUGCAGCCAUUUCGCACAAUCCCGUUUCCCUGCGAGUAACUGUGAGCUUCAUCCCAUACUUGGAUAUGUGGGUUCCAAGAGCCACGUCUGAUCCACAGCAGAACCACGAUGCAGGUUAAGUCUUGGCAAGAGUAAUUAGUAGUAUUUGAUAUUGCUAAUCAGGUAAACCAGCAGUGUGACUUCUGAAUCUUCCUUCUUUCAAGUAGACGGCAGCUUCCAAUCAGCGGGAGUCUCAAAUGAUGGGUAUUUUUUAGCCUGGAGAAGAUGAAAUCCAAGAGGGAACACAACAAAGCCACCUUCAUAUAGGACUAUAUGUAGACGAGACCGCAAACUUGUUUUCUGCUGCUUGAAACUCUUUGGAUUGGGAUUAUUGCAAAGGAGAGUUUAAGUAGACAUUCAGAAGAUCUUCUCAACAUUAAGAGCUGUUUAGCAGGACAGCAGGCUUCAGAAAAAGGGAAUUCUCCUUCAUUGGACAUCACUAUGACCAAGUCGGUCAGUCAUUUGGCAGAAAUGGUGAGAGGGCAAGAGUUAACUACAGUGACCAUGCAGACCUUUGUACUUGGCUCAGCCCAGCUACUGUCUCUGAACAUGGUCACUACGUGAGGUGCUGGCUUUGAGUUCUCCUGUUAAAGUGGCUGUGGGGUGCAGAGCAGUUUAAGUGCCUCCUGUGGCAUGUGAAGCUGGUGGCGUGUUGGACACAACAGAAGACCUUGGGUCCAAACCACCAGAUUAAUUAAAAAAUAACUACAGGAUAUUGGUGUGUCCUUGAAAGCAACAUCCCUGUGGUCUUGUGAGUAGGAAGGAGCAACGAGGACCUUGUUUCCCGCCUCCCUUCCAAGUUUCUCAGCCCAUGAGUCUUAGCGGGAGGCCGACACCUCUCUGUUUUUAAGAAACCAAGUCUUCCUUAAGUUUUGUGUGAUUUAUAGGUCGCUCCCACCAUUGGAGCUUCAUGGACUAUGAAAGAGCUGAAGCUUCUAGGGUAAAAUAAGCCACCGUAGAUGUUUGCUCACUGGUUUGGGGAGUGUUCAUAGCUGCUUCAUAGCUGCUUUGAGUCUCCUUCAGGAGAGAUAGAGCGGGAUACAAAUAAUAAUGGUGCAGGCUGUUGAGCAACCAGCUGCAACAAAUCACUCUGACCAAGAGGUCAUGAGUUCGAGGCCAACUCGGAGCCCCGCGUUUGUCUUGUCUUUGUUCUAUGUUAAGGCAUUGAAUGUUUGCCUUAUAUGUGUAAUGUGAUCCGCCCUGAGUCCCCUUCGGGGUGAGAAGGGAGGAAUAUAAAUACUGUAAAUAAAUAAAUAAUAAAUAACAACAACAACAAUAAUAAUAAUAAUAAUAAUAAUAAUAAUAAUAAUAAUAAUUUUUUUUUUCUUUUCCACAACUGUGAUGUCUGGUGUGUUGUGUUCCAGAACUUUGUCAGUCUAGAUUCGGAAGUCCCACAGUAUCUUUGCGUGCUCAUUUCCCAAUACUUUUGCAGGUUUGUGAUCCCACCAGUUCUUUGCUGCUGGGAGGUGGUACUUGAGGCAUAAGUUCCAAUGAAUCAUUUGGGCCACAUAAUUGUGCCUCUGUUUGUAGUCUGUCUGUGCGAUUUUCUUACAGAAGCUGAGGAUAUGAUCCAUGGUUUUGUCAGCUUCCUUGCACAGUCUGCAUUUUGGGUCAUCAGCUGAUUUUUCGAUCUUGGCCUUGAUUGCCUUUGUUCUAAUGGCUUGCUCCUGGGCUGCAAGGAUCAGGCCUUCUGUCUCCUUCUUCAGGGUCCCAUUCGUGAGCCAGAGCCAGGUCUUCUCCUUGUCAGCUUUUCCUUCAGUUUUGUCAAGGAACUUUCCAUGCAAUGUUUUGUUGUGCCAGCUGUCAGCUCUAGUUUACGAUCUGCCAACUGCAAAAGACCACCCUACUGGGAUCUGCAUCAUCCGAAAAUACAUCACACAGUCCUAGACACUUAGGAAGUGUUCAACUUGUGGUCGAAAUCCAGCAUAUCUAUCUUGUUUGCUGUGUCAUACAGUGUUGUUGUGUCAAUAAUAAUAAUAAUGGAAGAAGCUGUCAGGUCCAGCGGUUUCUCCAUCCAAUUCCGGCUGAGGAACCUCAGAUCCAUUCUUUCUGGACUCCGAAUCCUUCAUCCCUGCAUUUCUUCGGAGGCCAUGCUUUCUUGGUCAUGGCAGCCUCAUUCAGUGCUUUCCCAUCUUUUGUACCCUGCCCCCCUCCUCGGAAAGCCUCUUUGGAGUCAUAAUUACUCUCAGUAAGAGCUUUAGCAUAAAUGGUGUUGCUGCCUCGGCCACACCCGUCACUGGGAACGCAGCCCCUGAGAACUUUUCCAAAAUUGAAUUCAGACCCUGGGUUGGCAGAGGUUGGACCACCGUUGUGUAGUCUGUCAUCUAGAUACUGGAUUUCACCCAGGAGCUUCAUAUACAAAGCAUGUGCGCUGUCACUGAACUGCAGUCUUUCCCAUAAAAGGUUUUUGAAGAACAGGGGUUCAAAACUCGUGGGCUUUGCUUCAGAACCUUUCUGUCACAAACCUGGAGAAGGAGAGGUUCCUCUCAUGCUAGAAUCCAGACUCGCUGUAGGAUAUUUUGUCCAUAUUUUGUCCCAGGAAAUGCUUUGAUGAGAAUGGUCUUCCAUGGGCAGACCAGUCACCCAGUUUGGCCUCUUUUUGGCCAGAAGUGUGCUGCAUUGCUUUGAUGUCUUCUCUCAGCAUGGGCUUGGAUGGCGUUUGAACUGACUUCCUUCAUCCUCAUGAUAACCAAGGUCAUUCAGAACCACUAGCAAUUAUCUUUGAGAGUUCUUGGAGAACGGGAGAAGUCCCAGCAGAUUGGAGGAAGGCGAAUGUGGUCCCUAUCCGGUCCGGUCAGCCUCACAUCGAUACCAGGCAAGAUUCUGGAAAAGAUCAUCAAGGAAGUGGUCUGCGAACACUUAGAAACAAAUGCGGUCAUUGCUAAUAGUCAACACAGAUUUACCAAAACAAGUCAUGCCAGACUAAUCUGAUCUCUUUUUUCGAUAGAGUUACGAGUUGGGUCGAUACAGGGAAUGCUGUGGAUGUAGCGUACCUGGAGUUCAGUAAGGCCUUCGACAAAGUCCCCCAUGACCUUCUGGCAAAUAAACUAGUAAAAUGUGGGCUAGACAAAACUACGGUUAGGUGGAUCUGCAAUUGGCUAAGCGAACGAACCCAAAGGGCGAUUCUCACCAAUGCAUCGUCUUCAUCAUGGAAAGAAGUGACGAGUGGAGUGCCGCAGGGCUCCGUCCUGGGCCUGGUUCUGUUCAACAUCUUUAUUAACGACUUAGACGAAGGGUUAGAAGGCACGAUCAUCAAGUUUGCAGACGAUACCAAACUGGGAGGGAUAGCUAACACUCCAGAAGACAGGAGCAGAAUUCAAAACGAUCUUGACAGACUAGAGAGAUGGGCCGAAACUAACAAAAUGAAGUUCAACAGGGACAAAUGCAAGAUACUUCACUUCGGCAGAAAAAAAGGAAAUCAAAGAUACAGAAUGGGGGACGAUGCCUGGCUUGACAGCAGUGUGUGUGAAAAAGACCUUGGAGUCCUCGUGGGGAGGAAGGUGAACAUGAGCCAACAAUGUGAUGCAGCAGCUAAAAAAGCCAACGGGAUUCUGUCCUGCAUCAAUAGGGGAAUAGCGUCUAGAUCCAGGGAAGUCCUGCUCCCCCUUAUUCUAUUCUGCCUUGGUCAGACCACACCUGGAAUCACACUGUGUCCCAUUCUGGGCACCGCAGUUGAAGGGAGAUGUUGACAAGCUGGAAAGCGUCCAGAGGAGGGCAACUAAAAUGAUCAAAGGUCUGGAGAACAAGCCCUAUGAGGAGCGGCUUAAAGAACUAGGCAUGUUUAGCCUGCAAAAGAGAAGGCUGAGAGGAGACAUGAUAGCCAUGUACAAAUACGUGAAGGGAAGUCAUAGGGAGGAGGGAGCAAGCUUGUUUUCUGCUGCCCUGCAGACUAAGAUGCAAUGGAACAAGGGCUUCAAACGACAGGAAAGGAGAUUCCACCUGAACAUCAGGAAGAACUUCCUCACUGUGAGAAGGGCUGUUCGGCAGUGGAACUCUCUGCCCCGGACUGUGGUGGAGGCUCCUUCUUUGAAGGCUUUUAAGCAGAGGCUGGAUGGCCAUCUGUCGGGGGUGCUUUGAAUGCGAUUUCCUGCUUCUUGGCAGGGGGUUGGACUGGAUGGCCCAUGAGGUCUCUUCCAACUCUACGAUUCUAUGAUUCUAUGAUUCUAUGAUUCAUGCUAUCCAUUUGUUUCCAAAAUCCAUCUCUUCUAAUAUUGCAAAUAGAAAUUCCUAAUUUACAUUGUCUAAGCCCUUUCCUGCAUCUAGAAAUAUCAGGACCAUGUUUAUUUCAUUGUGUUUAUCUAAAACCUCAAUUAUGUGUAGGAUUGUUCUAAGGAUGUCAUUAAUUUGCUGUUUUGGUAGGUUGCUGAAUUGCUUGGUCUUGAUGAAUGAAUUCAUUUAAAUAUUUUUAAAAAAUCUUUCUGUUAAAAUUGCAGUGAAAAACUUGUGAUCAUUAUUUCAUAAUGAGAUAGGUCUAAAAUUCUUUAGCUCCGUUGGAUCUUGGUUUGGUGGGAUCUUGUGCUUGUCCAGCUCAUGAACUGCUGCACCAUGCUGGGCCUCAUGUGCUCUGGUGAUGAAUCUGAUCCAGUCAGUUUGCAUAAUGUGCCCUUAGGAAGGUUGAUGGGGAGCACAGCCGAGGGGAAUCUGGGCAGCUCUUCUUGUGAGCAGCAUCUCCCUUCCCUUGUGUGCAAGGAACCCAUCCCAAAGAGCAGGUUGCUGAGAAACGUCCUACCGCUUCCCUUUUCCUCUUCCGGUUUUUGUGGCCCUUUUGAAAAUUUGGGGUUUAGAAGCUGAACAAUGGGAAUACCUUGAGUUCAGUGGCAUGUGCAGAACAAAUGUGAGCCCAACGCCAGAAACAUUCCUGCCAGAGCCCCACGCCUUGAUGUGGUGGCUUGCUACUACACUGUUUACACUAGAGAGCUAGGCAGGAUUUGGGGGCUGCUGGGAAACUGACAGCUUGUGGUCCCGCACAAAGUUUCCGCCUUUUGUGGGAUGAAAGCAGAAAAGCCCAAACGGUUAUUUCUAAACAGUUUGAAAGCUUGCUCCCUUUCCAGAUCCAGGGAGCGCCUGCCAGGGCUGUGGUUGCUGCCGCAGCGAGGAAAGAAGUUUCAGAAGUCUGUUUGCAUUAGAAUAACAAGAUAAAGAAGCUUGUGGGAGUCAAAGUGGGGAGGGUCUCAGAUGAGAUGGAGAUGAGAAUGGGCUUGUCUUGAGUGAGUUUUCUUAUUCAGCUGGCUGAGCUGGGCAACCAUUGGGCUGAAGCUUAGCCGAAACCUAAGAGAUUAGGGAUGGGGUCUUAUUGGAUGGCUUCCUUUGGGUCUCUCUCUCUGUGACGUUUAGGGCCUGACGGAGCUGUCUUUGUGAGAGCUGUCGGAAACUAUGCUUAGUUCAGGUAAUUAAGUCACUUUCCAAUUGAAUAAAGGGUGUUUGUGCUCCCUUUGGACACAUGAGGUGCUGAGACGAGCGAGUGAUCUAGGCUUGGGUGCCAUCCUUCUUUAAGAGAAGGGGAAAGGAGUGUGUCGCCUGCUUCUCUUACGAUUCUGUGCUUCUAGGGCUAUCCUUCUCCACUUGCGCAUUGGGAGCCUUUGUGGCCUUGAUUCUCCUCCUUUGGAAGGGCCCCGUGUGCUGAAGAUUUUGGUUUCAGAAUUUAGUGUUUCUGGGUGAAACACUAGAUAUGAAGCCAUUAAAGAGUGCUGACACACAGCGAAAUCCAAGUUAAGAUGUAUUUUGUUUAUUUUUAUACAUCAUAAGACAACGAGUCCUCUAACUGUAGAGGCCCAUGGAAUCAGUGGGGUUUGAAUGUUGGCAUACCAAUUAGCAGACCAAAUGGGAUUGGACCUCAAUGGAAAUAGGCGGGCAAGUGCUCCUCUGGCUUAAAUUGACAAGCAAGCUUUGUCUUUCUGUGUUAAACUUUUUCCUGGCGUCUCCAGGAGGCCGAAGAAUGAUUUGGGAUGAGUGAUAACAAAGCAAAAUGGGCCGAAUUCCUUGCCUCAGCAGGAGAUCCAAUAGUUACAAAUUUGAGGAGUAGCUCAUUCCUUGUAGAAAGAUCCUGGGAGGCUCUGAAGUCAGUGAGAGCUCUGAUGGAAGCCAUGCAUCAUUCUUGGCUCCUGAAGCUGUCAAUGGAUAUGUCCUCUUGUGAGUUAGAGUCUCACAAGGAAUGUGUUCCGAAUGCCCAAAAUUAAAUAGAUUUUCUGUAAUAAUUCAAGCCUGUCACUGAUGCCUCUUGAGUGGCUUUCAUCAGCUCUGUUCAAGAACAGCUCUUGCUCUUCCUCAACAGCUCUUAUAUUCCCUGAAAUAGUUGGGAAUAAAAGGCAAAGAUAAAAGUGCCAGUACUCUUGUACUUAAAGGGCUUUUUGGAAGGAAUGUGAAACUAUCAUGCCUUGGUUUGCCGUGGCUUAGGCACCCAGCACCACCAAAAGGAGGAGGCUGAAGGAUUUUCGGUUGGAAUGCCAGCACCUGCAGAAGUCUUGCUUUAGGAGCUGCAAGCAAACAGCCAGGAGCAUCAUGCUCUUGGAGGUGGUUGGAGAUCUUGAAUUAGCAAUGAGGUUUGGGAUCACAGGAGCCCAUGUUGUGUGGAAGUGAAUGGAAUGUGUCCCUGACUAAAGGGGUGACUGUCAUGGUCUCCGAUCUUAUGACCUCUCCGGACACAGAGCAAGCGCUGACAAAGAACAGAUGCCAGCCAUAAAACUGGCCAGCCAUAAAACCUCAAUUACCCUCUGGUAUGUGAGAGCCCCUAUAUAAAUGGGCUACAGAGAAGAUUCUGGUAUUCCGUACAAUAAAACCUGUUUGAAUCUACCCAGCGUGUGUCUUGGUGCUUUCUUCUGGGGAAGACUUACCCACAACACAACUGGAAGAAGAGAACCUAACAGUGACGUCUUAGAUGAGAUUUCUUCUCUUUUUGUGUUGGGCAACCAUAAUGCCAUCUUGAUAGAGGCCGAAGGGUAGUUUUCACUGAUAGAGAUGGACUCCUCGCCUGGACGUUGGGAGUUGGUUCUAAGUUGUAAUCAAUGCCGUAUUGAAUAAAUGCAUGUGGAAAGAGAUACUCAGGCUGUGGUGCUUCCCAGAUGUUGCCUGGCAUUUGCUGUAGCUCUCACUCUUCAGAAGGACCUUGAACUCCCCCAUGAAGACCCAAGUGCGCCAGCUACAAUUUCCCUUUGGCAAGACCUGGCUCCUAGGAAGUGUCUCUUAUUCCAGAGCAUUCUUCUUGCAUGAAUAAGUCUUUUUGCACCCCCUACAGCUACUCUGGAAAGGACACAUUCUUCAGUUCUCUCAACAGUGCCCUGACACUUUCCUGCGACCCAGUCUCUUGCUGCCAGGACCCCCAGCUUUGCAAAGCAUUGCUUUAAUUGUCUCUGGUUUGAAGCUGUGCUCUCAGUGCUGGUGGUCCCUCCUUUCCAGGGUGAAAUGGAAAGCCUGGUGGCCUCUCUGGCACUUUCCCGCCUCCUAUCCGAGAAGUCCUCCAGAGCGGCCCAUGGAGAAGAGCAGGGCGGUCCUUUGCGUUUUGGAGUACAGCAUGACCCAUGGAAGAAGUUGGCCUUGGCCACGUCUCUCCCUGCGGCGGAGGGACUGAAACAUGUAUAUCUCACCGUGUGUCUUGAGGGGCCACAGUGGCAUACAUUUAUCCAUGACAAACAGUUCAAAACAGUCCCAGCAUAAAAAAAAACCCAACAGAAUAAUUUUAAGUAGGAUAAAAGUGUACUAAAUAAACCCCCAGGUUAAAACAGCAUAAAAGGUUAAAGUAGGGCCGGGCUGUGGCGCAGCUGGCUAGUAACCAGCUGCUAUAAAUUCACUACUGACCGAGAGGUCAUGAGUUCGAAGCCCAGGUCGGGUUAAGCCUCCGACCAUAAAAAAAUAAAUAAAAAAAUAGCCCCGGCUUGCUGUUGACCUAGCAGCCCCGAAAGACAGUUGCAUCUGUCAAGUAGGGAAAAUUUAGGUACGCUUUAUGCGGGAGGCUAAUUUAACUAAUCUACAACACCAUAAAACUGCUCAAGAGGAAAAGAAGAGGAAGAACAGCCAGCAAUGGACGGUGAAGCAACAGCUCCCCCUGUGGCCGGAAUCGUGAAGCUGGAAAGGUGUUAAAAAUGCCUCUGUAUCUGUCUAAAACUGAAUGUUGUUUGUCUGUUGGCAUUGAAUGUUUGCGAUAUAUGUGUUCAUUGUAAUCCGCCCUGAGUCCCCUUUGGGGUGAGAAGGGCGGAAUAUAAAUACUGUAAAUAAAUAAAUAAAGUAGAUAAAGCCAUAUCUAGGUCCACUUUAAGACGUCACAUGGUUUGGCUCCAAAAGGCUGUAGUCACCAGGUCUGUUUUAAUUUGGGGUUCCAAAGAGAUCAGUGUCAGUGCCAAGCAGGCCUCCAAGGGGAGGAUGCUCCAUGAAGAGGAUGCCAUGCUGAGGAGGCCACUCCCAUGUUCCUGCACAACGUGUCGGUCCCAGAGUGGGACAUGGAGUGGACCCUCCGUGUCCCACCUCUUGGGCAGAGGUGUGUUCUCAAGCCUCCAGGUCCCAAGCCAUUUAGGACAUUGAAUGGCACCACAAGCGCCCCAAAUGAAGGCCGGAAGCAGCUUGCAGGUGGGGUUGUCUCAGUAGAAAGAAUCCACCUUCUGCCAGGUGCACCAGUGGCUUUUCCAUGCUACUUGUCAUGGCAAAGGGUUCUGAAUCUGCCCAAGAACGAGAAGCAGCGGAGUGUCCAUAGCAGUUUGAUCUGGCUGGUUCUGCCUGCUUCUCUUGGGCCAAGCUGUUUUGUGCUGAUGUGGAUUAAGUCUUUGGUUUGCAAAUGCUCACUCUCUCUUCCUGGAAGCAGUAGGCUUUGGAUUUCCUAAGAUUUAUUCUAUGCCCGAAGGUGAGUUUCUGGCACCAUGGGUGCAAAGGCCCACUGCCUGAUGCCAAGCAGUUUGGAAAAAACAUUUGCAGCAUGCGUGUGCUGGGCCUCAUGGCCUUUGCUCCUCUGGAUUUGAGCCCAUCUCGAAGUAGGUUUCCUCUACAGUUGCGUGGAGGCCUGUUUAAUUAAUCCUGGAACAAUUGGCUUGACAGAUAAUUCAAACUCAAUUUGAGCAAAGCAUUUUCCAAGAGGACACUGCAUGAGAGCCAGAUGUAAAUGCAAAACAAGUUUUAUAGUUAUAGGUCUUGGCUUUUGCCAGGGUCCUGAGAUAAGAGGCAUGUAAAAAAGGGUUAUUGGGUUUUUGGGCCUCGGAGGAGGCUGGGAACCAGGGGCUGAAGAAAUGCCUGGGCUCCUUUAAACCCCCUUUCAACUUGGAGCAGGUGGCAGCUAUUGGAAAUACUGAAUAUCAGGUUUUAUUCUCUCCCUUUAUGCAAUCAAAUUGAAAAUAUGUCUGGCAAGAAGGUAUGGGGGAUGGACUAGAUUCUCUGAAUCACAGAGUUAAGAAAGAUUCCAGUAGUAACCAGGCCUUGUCCCUUGCUGCUAGUACAGGAAAUUCACAUCCAGAGGAAUCCCUGAGAAGUAGGCAUCCAGCUGCCCUUUAAAAGUCUAGUCCUCCAUCAAUCAGCUCUUCCUGUCGAGAUGGUUUUCCUAAUACUUAGUUGGAGCCUUCAGCCUUGUCAUUGAACCAGGUGGCUUGUGUCAAAUCCCCUGGACUAGAAUCAACCAAUGCCUUGCUCCUCCAACCAUUCAAGGCUUCGACUGCUGGAAAUUGCCUUCUGCUUUGAUGCAGGUGCCAAAGCUGUGAAAUCUCUAUCAGGUCUUGAGAGCCUUGAACUUCAAGUUGUGGGCCCAGGAUGAAAAUGCAAGGUGCUCUCACCAGCCUGCAAGAGGUAUCCAGAGCUUCAGAUCCUUUCUGACCAAACAUAGAAGGAGAAGGACAGAGAAGAAGAGAUGGCUUGAGCUAGAAGGAGCAUCUCCCGAGCUGGAUCUUCUCAGCUGGCUUGAAAGAGUGGCCGGUUUGUGCUGGACUUGCUUUGUAACCCAGCAGUUUCUUCUUUGAACAGAACUUUUUGGGGAUUGUGGUGCUGGGACAUCUUUACCAUCGCAUUGAAACCCCCGUUUAGUAGAGAUGGUAGUCAGGGUGGCACAGUUGAAACUAUCCUUCUAGCAGGGAUGUCUGCUAUCCAAGGCUCUAUUUCAGAGUAAAAUCACCUCUGAGAAUUUGUUGUUUAAGAAAACCCUUUCAAAUUCAUUGAGUUGACAUUAAGCCAACACGUGAUUUAUUUGUGUGUGUGCCUUCAAGUUGUUUGCUGAUCUAUGGAAGCCCCUCAUGAACCUCAUAGGGCUUUACUCACACAGAAUGAGGCCUAAAUAACCUGAAAGCAACAGGUGCCAUCCGAUCUGGAAAACUGUGCCGGAUGGGAGACCCAGCAAGGGAUACCAGAUGCUGAAGGAUCUAUUUUAGAGGAAGGAACUGGCCUGUCCCAGCAUUUCCACAAGGCCUCCUCCGCGUUGGAGAUGCAGGGUGGCCCUUGUGCCAAGAGGUCCUGCUCCGUUUGCCGCCCAUUCAGGGCGCCGUUGGGACACAGGGCAAAAGGGGUGGCUGAGAAUCCGCCCCCUUCCCGCGUGCGCUGGCUCCGCUCGUGUCCUGCAAAGCGGACCCUCCUGGGCGUAGCCCGCUCUCCUUUCCGGGCAGGAACUGAGUCCGGUCUGCUUCGAAUCAAGAGUGGAAAGUACAGAACAUUCCGUUUAGGUUGCGAAAACCAGGGCAAAAGUUCUCUUCUGUUAUUCUCCUCUGGGUUUAAUAUGGGACUUUUUUUUUUUUAAUAAGGCUGAGAACUGAGGUAUGGCAGGGGACAGGGUUUAAUACUUGCUCAUUUCCCCCCCCCCCCCCCCCCGCUCCUUGGAAAUAGUUCUGAAGCUUUCAAACCUUCAUGGGAACAAUGGUAAUUUGGUGUGCCCCUCCUCGUUUCAGAAAUUUCAUUUCAUUCGGCAAAAUGUAUACUGAGAGACAGCAGAGCAAAGACUGAAAUGUACUUUUUAAGAGUGAUCCCAGGUGUUUUUAGGUGAAAUGUUACCCCAGCGAUAUUGAACUGCUUGUCGCAGGCGGACGGUCAGUAUGAGCUGAUUCCUUCCGUGGCACUAGGUCUCUCCUCCUUGGACCCUUGUCUUCUUGACUCUGACAAGCAAGAAUUCUUCAGGGACCAUCCCUACCGUAUCUCCUCCACAUCUCCUCCUCUAGCAGGAUAUUCUUCAGGCACUCCAGGCUCACGUGCGGCCAGGCAGCCACCUGGCCAUUCCUUUCCUCCUGGUCUGUAGUAUUGGCCAAGAACACCCUUUUCCAGCUCUCUCAGACCUUGACUUUUAAGACAAAUCUUUCCAUCCCCGCUCUCUGCAUCUCAGCCAGUAAUGUGGCUCAGAGCAUUACUGUGCAGUUUCCGCUACCUUGCCUUGGGCAUAGGAAGUCAGAAUGAGUUCAGGCUUGCUUGUGGUCAUAUUCAUAGCAAAGGGAAGAAUUAGGAAAUGGCAGGGGCCGGUCCAUACAGGUCAAUGGCAACAUGCUAACAUGGGAGAGAUUAAAGGCAGAAGUGCUUAAUGCCUUUUUUUACAGUCUUUUCCCAAAAUGAAAAUUGUGGUCAACCUAGGGAAAGUAGAGUAGAUGAUGCAGUGGGGUAAAUGUAGUACAGAAUAGGUAAAUAGGCAGUUCAGGAAUAUCUGGCCAAUCUAAACGAAUUGAGACCUCCAGGGCCAUAUGAACAAUAUCCAAGGGUGUUAAAAGAACUGGCAGAAGAUAUUGUUCUCACACUUUCACUGUAUUCUAUACUCAAUAUUUACAUAUAUAUAAAAUAACUGGCAGAAGUAAUUUAAGAACCUCUGUCUGGCAUCUUUGCGAUUUCUUGGAGGACAGGAGAUCCCAGGAGACUAGAAGACUGCAAAUGUUAUCUCUAUCGUCAGAAAGGGGAUAAUAGAGGAUCUAAACAAUUACUGCCAAAUCAGGUUGAUGUCAGUAUCAGGAAAUAUUCUAGAGCAGAGCAUUAAACAGAACAUUUCUAGAUGUUGCUCACCUUUUGCUAAAUGGACUGUGACAUUGUAAAUGGACUGUUUUUUGGUACUUUCUUUGUCAGCCAGAGGUCCAGAGAGCCAUUCCUCUCCUUUCCUUCUGAGAGUUUUUCAUCCCCUCUGUCCCCAUCUCUCCUUCGUAGAAGCACACCCACCGUAGGGCAGAGUCCGGCAAGAGCACAGUGCUCUCCAGGUUGACGGUGGCUCCCUGCCUCCCUUAUCAUGGGCCAUGGCUGUUGCAGUCCAUCUACAUUUUCAUGAGGGUAGGAUUCCCAGCCGUUGGGCAAUAUGCAUGCUUCCAUUCUUAACAGGUAUCUGGCAGGGGGUCUCUCAAAAAUUCUGCUCUAGAAACCUCCCUGGAAAGCCAUUUUGGAAGGACAGGGAGCAUUCUUGAAAGCAUUCCCACGUCUGUCUUUUUGGCUGACCCUUCCCCUUGGUUCAUACCAGAAACCAGGGCCUGAUUCUUUCCUCCUGGGGGUUUUGGCAUCUUGAUGAAGUUGUAGAGACAAAGAAGGCAAAAGAAAGAGGGGGCUCCUUCCUCUCUGGAGAACCUGGGGCUGUUUUGGGGGGGAUGGCAGUUGGCAACUUGGGCCCAAGGCAAGAAGAAGGCCUUCGUUCUCUUUUUAAAAUCUCUCUCCUGCAUCCCAGCUCAUCCUCAAAACAGAAGCCUUAUUUCUGCUUGGAGUUUGGUGAUGGCAUGGAAAUCAGGGUGGGAUCUCCGGCCUGGCCUUGAGCGGGGUCCAGGCUUGGCUCCUGCUUUGCGUCAGGCUCCCGUUUCCUUGGCAGGGAGACCUUCGCUUCAAGGGAAGUGUUAAGCCUUUCUGUGGUUUUAGAUAAACAGCAGCCGAAUGCGUGGGGCUACUUGCACCCUUUCCCUUGGAAAUGUAAUUCAUGUGUGAGGAACCAGGGCCACUAGAUGUGUCCUUGCUGAACCUUCCAAGGACAAGCACCAACUCCCAGCCUCUUCGCUGAAGCAUUAUAAAACCAGCAACCUUCAGAAAGGGAAACUUUUGCCACAUGGAGCAUUCCUGAGUUGCCAGGCAGGACUGGCCAUGCGUGGUUCCGGCUCUGAGGGGUGAUAAUAAUAAUAUCAUCAUCAUCAUCAUCAUCAUCAUCAUCAUCAUCAUCAUUUUAUUCUUAUACCCUGCCUCCAUCUCCCCGCAGCGACUCGGGGCAGCUUACAAAUACAAAAUAAACAUACAUACAUACAUACAAUAACCUUCAAAUACUGAAAACGCGCAAAUGAAAAUUAAAAACAUACGAUAAAAUCACAACCAUUAACAAGACAAAGUUAAAACGCAGCUUGUUUGUGCUCAGGUGUAUAUGUGAAAUGGGGGCAUCAUUGGGAGGAGGAGGAAGAGGAGGAGGUGGCUGUGGCGUUGGCCCUUGGUGCAUUGCUUAGCCUGGUUCCAGAGAAGCAAAUGUGCUUCAGGAUGAACUGUCCGUGGCAGUAGGUUGGCUGUUGCAGUCCAACCACACCGUGUUUGAAUCAUUAGCAUAAUGCAUUCACUUGUUUGAAUCAUCAUCACAAUUCAUGAAGCAUGGCUCAGCUAGUUGCCUCUUUCAUCAUUGACUUGUAGGUUUCGUAUUUGUAGGGUUGCCAUAAGUCCAAGUUGACGUGACAGCAGCUAACAACAACAAAAGCAGUUUCUUUGAUGGAUCUUGGGAUGGUAAAUUUACCUUCUGGGUGCAGUGGGAAUAGACUUGGCCUUUGUGCGAGCUUCCUGGCCUUUGUGCCCAGUCUUUCGCAGGGUGAGAGGUAUCAGCCAUUAUAAAAAGGGAUGCAUGCAAGUAGGCGAUGGUGCUGUUGAAGGGCAGAAUUGAGCGGGACUGGUAUCUUAAUCUUUGGGAUGUAAGGUGCGCUGAAAGCCAUGCUCCUGAAAGCGGUGGUCCCUGUGCUGGUCCCAGUCCCUGACAAAUGUCCAGCGAUAACUAAGUGAUGCGCAUGCAUUUAAUGACACUUCCCCACAUCAGGCUCUUCCAGACGCACUGGCCUAGAGUUUUCUUUGAAAUAGAAAAGCAAAAUGAACAUAUUACUCUUGUAAACCGAAUGUAAAUUGGCAGGAAGGUGAACCAAAAGGGAGUUGGAAGGACAAGUUGCUGCAGAUAGAAAAAACAAACACACAAUGUUUGAAAUACACCAGAAACAGAAAACUGGCCGAGUCAGAGACAGUUGAGAUGACAAAGAUGUGAAAGGGGAGUUCUGAGAAAGAGGAAUGGAAGUCUCUGUUUUUCCCACAAGGAGUCGAUCUGUGGGGUUAUUUUAUGCUAAUGCAACAUGUUCAGGCAUUGAUGUGUCUGAAAAGAUACCAUAGGGAGCCAUAGCCGUUGUGGAAGUGCUGUGUUGAAGCUGCAGUGGAAUCUUUGUCUUGCAAAAUUUCCCUGAGACCAGGGAUUGGGAGGCAAGCCCCUUCCCUUCCCCAGUGUUUCAACUCAUAGAUUUGUAGAAUCGGAAGGGACUGCGAGGGCCGAGGGCCAUGUGUGCCAACUUCUGGCAAUACAACUUCUCUCUGGCUGAAGCACUCCUGAAAGACAACCACCCAGGCCUUGUUUUUUGACCUCAAAAGAAAAGACUCAAAAGACAGUUCAUAAUCUGGUGUCAAAUAGCUCUUAACCUCAGAAAAUUGGGUCUGACAUUUAGUCACAAUCCUCUUUCUUGCAGUGUGAGCAUAUAGGUCUAUAUUCUAGUCUCUGGAGCAGCAAAAAGCUAGUUGUUUCUAUUACAUCUCCAUGACUUUCCUUUAGAUGUUUCAAUCUGACUAUUUGACAUUAUGUUAUCUUGUAUGUAUGAGGUGUUAUAUAUGACAUAUAUAUCUCAUGCCAUAGAACAAGUCUUGCCAUGCUGGGUGACCUAAUGUUUCUUUUCCUCUUUGCCUUCCUUUUGCUCCAUUUCACUAGAGAGAAGUUGUAUUUUUAGUUUGUUUCUUUGAGCUGUGAUCAUCUCUCUCGGAUAAACUUGGCAGUGGAAACUAUGAUUUGGUUCUCGCAUGGGGUCUGGCAGAGCAAGAGACAAGGGGCUACUGGAGAAUCGGAAAGGGUUUAGGGAGAACUUUGAAGGAGAGCCAACAUUCAGAGAGAGUUUCUUUUGAAGAUGUGAAAAUUACAGCCCUGGCAUAAACCACAAUAAAACCCCCUUGGAAACAUUUACUUAUCAGGAGCGCAGAGCAAAUACGAGGGAAAGGGUCAGGCGGCUGGGCCGGGGGGAAUCUCUGGGAAGGCGGUCGACUGGGUUGGCGGAGGAUGACAUUUUCAUGGCUCUGGAAUGUGGAGGUAAUAGCUGCUGCUGCUGCUUUGCUUUCUUGGCUCUUGCCAGGUUUGGGGAGAAAUCCUUAUUCCAGAUGUUGCAUCAGGCCGUGGCGGCUGUGCAAAGCGGGGAGCGUUCCAUGAACUGGGUAAUGAUGGAGGGUGAGGAUAAAAGCCGAUAUCCAUUUGGGAGAUGUCUGGCAGUUUUGUAAAAGGAGCUGGUUUGAGCUUUGCACUUUCAGUCUUCAUGGUCCUGCCCCUGGAAAGUGUCCUGCUCUGUGCUUGCAGAGAUAGAGGACUCUAAUACGGAGGCAGAAUCUUCUUUUCCCCAGAAACUGGAAGGUCUUUGCUGUGAAGGAUUCUUUAGGCAGUCAGUUCUUCUUAUUUUUCCAGAUCCUCGGGCCAAAUCCAUGGAUCCUUCUCUCCCUCUUUCCAUGGCCUUCUUGUCUUCUCCUGCCUCCCUGGAACAGCUGAAGGGGUUUUCUUUGUUGCUGCAGUUAAGCCUCUUCAGUUAGGUUGUAAAGUAACUUCUUUUCUUGGGCUAUUUGCUUAGUAGACUGUGGUCCCGUUCUGGAUGUAGUUUAUCUUGAUUUCAGCUGAAUGUUUGACUGUGUUUUGACUUGUGAAAUCCAGGCUCAGUUAAGAUAACAUGCAGCCAGUGGGUUCCUAUCUGGUUGGAAAACUAUUCUAAGAAUGCUGAUCAGCGAAAGGAGGUUUCUACUCAGUCAGUCAGUCUGGUCAUUUACAGGAAGGAUCCGAACUGCUUCCACACAUGCAAAACCAGAGAGAUGGCUAAUAUCUCAGAGGCAGAAACAACAUUCGGCAUGACCUUCGUGGAAUGGUUAAACUAGUUGGAAACUAAAAAAGGGAAAUUUGUCGGAGACAAAUGCAAAGUUUGGUGUUCAGGGGAUAUAAUUAACAACAACAACAACAACAACAACAACAACAACAACAACAAGGAAAUUCCUUGGUUCAGCCAUAGUCAGCGGGGAAAGGAUUUCAAGGCUGCCACUGAUCACAAGCCAAACCUGAAUUAGCAGCACAAUAUAGCACUAGAAAAAGCAAAUGCUCUUUAUGCACCCUUCGCAAAACUGUAAUUUCUAUGACAUCAGAAAAAAUAGACACAAAAACUCACCCCAUACCUCAGAACUGCCCUGUCAAAAUUGACCUUCCUCAGUGGCAAAGGAAUGCUGUUUGCCUCUUGGCGGGAGAAAGAAAAUGGAGCAAACUGAUGGUGGUGGAUAUUAUAAUCGGAAGAACACAUAGUGACCUGGAACCACAUUGUUUUCCAAGCCGGUGAGUUUCCAAGACAUAAGGACGGAGAGUUCCAGUGUCCCCCCAGUUGUCAGACCUCAUUGCAGAACACCAUGUGCAUUUCUGGAUACUUUCAUUGAACCUUUUGAAUUGUAUUCAGUCUGUAUUGUUUAUGAAUAUAUCAUGGGUCACCUUGGGUCUUGUUAUAUCAGAGAAAAGCCAGAUAUGAGCGUGAGUGGUAGAGGAGUGGACCCAGUUGUCCAGAGAGGCGGUGGGGCCUCCUUCUCCAAAUGCCCCAGAAAGGGGCUGGACAACUCACUGCUGCUGGGCGAGCUUUUUAGAUGGAGGUCCACCAUUGAGUAGCUGGGUUGGCUCUGAUGAUCCACUUUUGUUUUUGGCACAAAACGUCAAACAUUUUACUCUGAUGAAUUGUUCUUCUGUAACAUUUAGUGACAGUUGAAAAGAAGUAUAAAACUGGGCAAAGUUCUCUUUGGUCUGUUGUCCUUCACCGUGGGGCUUUGGUGGUUAAGAAUUCCACUUUUUGACAUGGGAAUGAAUACUUAAGGCAUGUCCAUCUUGUCCCUGUUCCGGGCUGUUCCCUUUUCAGCCGAAGAUGGGACAGUUUUCACGAGAACACCUGCAAGCAAACAGACUGGCACUCUCCCCAUCUCAGCUCUUGGUAGAAGAGGCUUUGUGUGGGAUUGAUUUCUUUGGGCCCUGCUCCACGUUCCAGCGCAACACAGACAGCACGGUGUUCCUGGCCUUGGGGAGCCUUGUUGUGUGGUCUUGGGAGUGCAAUGGAGAUCUGUUUCUGCUGCCCGGCUUCAGAUGCAUAAGGAACAGAACCACAGCGGUGCCAGGGAAGCAAAGACAGUAGCAUCUGCAAAGCCAUUUUGCCAAAUCUGAACUAUGCUAAGAAUUCACUCAAACCGUUUCAUUCACCUUAGAACGCCGCCGGUUUGUGUUGAUUUGGAAUGUCUCGGUAGAGGAUUUUUCUUGAACGGCAGCCAUUGCUGUGGUAUUUUCCCACGCCAAUUUCAAUUUUCAUCUGGAUGGAAUGAAAUAUUGAAUUUUGAUGACAUGAGAGAAUUCUGGGGUUGUUGAACUCUCAAUGUUCUAGAAAAUAAACCAAGGCAUGACUCAAUUGGAGAUGUCUCUUGCCUCAAGGGUAGGAAGAAACAGAGCACACUCGGCAAGGCUUCGAAAGAGGGACCUCUCUUGAGUUUGGCCCCUGGGGCCCCAAGCCCCCUUGCUCUCCCGUUGCUAAAUAAAGGGGGUGAUGAUGCGUCACAUAUAUGGCCAUCAUUGGAAGAACUGUGCCAGCUGUCCCUUUGUUCCUGAACUUACUUUAGGAUUUUGAGCUUCACCUCGAAGGGUCCAAAUGCCUGAGAAAACGCCUCCUCAGAUGUAAACUUCACUGGUCCACUUCAUUGUGUCUCAUUUUGGAGGUGGCCAUAUGGUAAGCACGAAAAGAAGAGCCUUUGAUGGAGUGUCACUCCCUGCCCAAUCCUGGAAAGGGACAGACCAGUCUUGGAAGGGUGAAACCCAGGUGCAAGUUGUCAACUUAUUUUUAUUUGCUUCCGUAUCUGAUGAGUCAUGGUUUUGGCUUUUUGCUUGUUAGCAGAAGACCUGUUGUUGAUGUUGAGCUUGUUUUGGCUAUGCUGUACAUAGUGUGGAUUUGUAUACCUUUAUCUUGCCAGGGUAUGCUGCAUAUGAGAAUCGCUACAGAAAUACUCUUAGUCACUUGGAACGAUUUCUGGCAGCAUCCACGCUGCAGUGUUUCCAGUGCAGUGUUCCCAAAGCAAUACAUCUGGGGCCUGUCUCCAUCCAUUUGUCCUGCUGCCGUAAUAAAGGAGGCCACUGUUGGAUGUCCCAAUUGAAUACAGAGCUGCCGGCGCCCCAGUCCUAGCUGUGGUCUUUCCUUCUGGAGGCUUCCAUGGAUGGACAUGACAGAAAGUGAGAUGGUGUCCAAUUCCAGCAUUGUGCAGCUAUUGGUGAAAGGAAGGGAGGAAAAGACAUGGAUUUCUUGGAGGCACAUGGCCCAAGGUGGUCUCAGUCAAACAAUGCAAUGGUCUUGCAAGAAGGCCCACAAAACUGCACUCAAAUAUAUAUGAUACUGGAAGAAAUGGUUAAGGUCAAAGUCAUGAUGAAAAGAGAUGUCUAUCUGUUGGGAAUUCUGGGCAAUCAACUAAAAAGAAAUCAUGGAAAGUGACUACAGUAUAUGAUAACUGCAGUGAGAAAGGUCUGUGCUUAGGGAUGGGAGGAACCAGUCACCCUAAUGGCUGGCAAAGAUCCUCAGACUAUUUGAGAUGGACAAACAAGGCUGUUUAAGGAGAAAUCUUUGAUGAUCCUCAAGAAAGAUUGGGACCUGCUUCUUACUGUUUUUCAGCACAACACAGCCAAAGCCUUCCUGACGGAUGCCCCAGAGGAUUGCAAUGGCUGAAGCCUUCCCAUUGUAGAGGCCUGCCUUCCAAGGACGGCUCAGAGCGGCAUGGCCCGCAGUUGACCUUUGUGAGGGAUCUCGCCUGGGGCAAACCGUCCUUGGAAAUGUCAGGAUGCGCCUCUUCCUCCUCCAUCUGCAGAUGGUUAAUGACAAGUUCACACAAGAUAUUGUCAGGGGCAUCUGGAUCUGGUUUCUUCAUAAACAGAAGUAAAUGUUGAGAACAUAUUUCUCUACAUCCAAUUUCACUUGUUGUGGAUACUUGGCAUAUUUUGCAGCCCACAUCUUUGGGCUCCCGAUUCGGGUUCCCGGCCCGAGGGCCCUGCGGCCGCUUUCUGCUGAAGAGCCCCGAAGGCUGCGGAGGAGACGUUUUCCCUUGUGCAGAACAUAAAAGCACCAUUCCCCCCCAAAUUGUAACCAUAUUUUUCAUUAAAUUCAGUUGGAGCCCCAAUAAACAAUUGACAAGGGAAAAAAUCCAGUGCUUGCCACACUGCUGUUUCUCUCUCUUUCUCUCUCUUGCUCUCUAUAUUAAUUGUUUGAAGGAGGGGGGAAAAAAUCUAAAAUACACUUCUUGGCUUAAAAAACCUCCCGAUCUAGUAAAUGAGAAAAAUGUACAUGCAUUUAGUCCUUUAUUACAAUAUAAUUAAAACCUACUGUGUGCAUAAGUGCAAGAAUAUCUUUGUAGGGGUGUCUGGAUUCUUCUGCAUUGCCAUUUAUCAUGCGAGCCUUCUGUUUCUGAUUUGCCUGCGUCCCAGUGCAAAGUCGGCGCAAGGGAGAGGGGCCUGGCGGUGGGCACACGGCAUCUCCCUGGGUGUGCUCUUGGCCUGCGUGCCUCCGCACCGAUAGGGAGUGCGGGUGGGCAGCCGGCGAUGACGCACGUCCCAAUCGCAAGCGCAAUCUGCUUUAGUCGGUUGCACGGCUCGUCCAGAGAGCCAUGUGUUCUGGAAGGGGACUGCGGUGCAGCAGCAGACCCCUGGGAAUCGCAAAUAAUGCAAGACCAAUAGGCACCUGGAGUUGGAAGGGACCCCAAAAUAUCAUCCAGCCUGACCCCUUCUGCUAGGCAGGAAGGCACUAUCCCAAGCCUUCCAGACAGAACAGGAAUUAUCCCUCCCUGAUAACUUGAUAUUGCUUUGCACCUUGGCCUGGAUCUUUUGACCCAAAUCGGGAUUUUAAUAUUAUUGUGUAUAUUGACUUUUAUGACUGUUUUUAAUCAUGUUGAAGUUUUACUGCUCGGUUUAAUGUUUUAUCUGAUUUGUGCUGUCGUGUCUGGGCAUGGCCCCAUGUAAGCCGCCCCGAGUCCCUCCGGGGAGAUGGGGCGGGAUAUAAGAAUAAAAUUAUUAUUAUUAUUA